rnacentral:rRNA from 1 species
UACGUAGGUGGCAAGCGUUGUCCGGAUUUAUUGGGUUUAAAGAGCUCGUAGGCGGUUCAGUAAGUCGGGUGUGAAAGCUCCGAGCUCAACUCGGAGAGGCCACCCGAUACUGCUGUGACUUGAGUCCAGUAGAGGAGCGUGGAAUUCCUGGUGUAGCGGUGAAAUGCGCAGAUAUCAGGAGGAACACCGAUGGCGAAGGCAGGUCUCUGGGCCGAUACUGACGCUGAGGAGCGAAAGCGUGGGGAGCGAACAGG